UACGAAGGGGGCUAGCGUUGUUCGGAAUUACUGGGCGUAAAGCGCGCGUAGGCGGUGAUCUAUGUCAGAGGUGAAAUCCCGGGGCUCAACUCCGGAAUUGCCUUUGAAACGGGAUCGCUAGAGUCCGAGAGAGGAUGGCGGAAUUCCUGGUGUAGAGGUGAAAUUCGUAGAUAUUAGGAAGAACACCGGUGGCGAAGGCGGCCAUCUGGCUCGGUACUGACGCUCAGGCGCGAAAGCGUGGGGAGCAAACAGG
rnacentral:rRNA from 1 species